rnacentral:tRNA from 1 species
GAUAAAGUGGCUGAGAUUUAAGCGAUAAAUUGUAAAUUUAUUAACGAAAUUAUUUCCUUUAUC